CAAAUACAUCUUUAACCCAACGAUCCAUACUGAGUGAUGCUCUCAUCAAGAAUCCACAGACCCAACGAUCCAAUUGUCAAAAGCUUUGAAUUUCAUCAAACUUGUAAUGCUUCCGACCAUAAAUGUCAUAAAACGUUCGAAGUUACAAACUCGUCGUCCGUAACACACCUUCAACGGCUAUCUUCGAUAGUCAUAUAGACGACUGUAUAAAAGAGUUCUUAAACCACAACUCAAGGUGUACAUUAUCUAUCAUUUCAAUAUCCUCCAAGUCGCAUCUCGAUGGUUGCUGCUCCAUAAAGAUAAUCACUACUCGUGUUCAAUGUUUAAUACACAUUUUAUAUAUGUAUGGCUAGAGGAUAUUAAUAAAAGUUCUUCUCAUCCUUAUCGGUUUCAUAUGUCUCUUUUCACCUUAUUUCAACGGCCGGACCUAAAUAGGAAUGAUUAAAGGAUGUCAUACGAUAUGUAAGGAAAUAAGUAACCAGAAAUAGAAUGUGCAACAUAUAUAACAUUAUGAUUCAAUGUUACAAGAUAUUAUCCAAAAUUAAUAAAAUUCAGUGUUUCAAGACCUUUUCUCUUUCCAUUCUCUAUGCACCAACUCUCGUUCCUUCUCCCCUUUACGGCCCAGAGGACCAUAACCGACAUAUUUUUGCAUAGCAUACUGUCUGACCUAACCGAUAUACCUUUGGUCAAUUAAAACAUUUCACUCGUUAAUCUUUUAGUUGAAGCAAAAUAUUAAUUGUUGCACUCAGUUUCAAUGGAACAUGACACAUAUUGAAAUUAAGACUCACUAAUUUUUUUUAUCAAAUAGUUUUAAAAUGUGGAGUAGUGAAGUAUCCGAGAUUCGAACUCUGACCUCUGCAUAUAAUAUGUAAUAUCCUACCAACUGAGCUAAGUUCACCGUCCAUAUAUUUUCAAAUUAAUUUGAAGUCCUAAAUUAUAAUUAAACGCCUGUAUUAUAUAUGAUUGUCAACAAAUCAAAACUCAAUUGUUGGCUACUAAAUUAGAAACCCCAAUAAGUAACUCAAUUAAUCAUGGAUAGAUACAUUAGAUCCAGAUGGCUCCAACCUGCAAUAUUACUUCUUUUGGCUUUGCUUUCUAUCACAAAAGAAAAAGCCAGGUGCAUUAGGUACAUGCCAAUUUCAGAAAAAAGAUAUAAAAGUUUGACUUUUCCAAUUAGGAACAUUAUCACUCUAGCUCCAUACGACCAGGACCACAACACAUUGGGAAGAAAUUUAACAUUUGGAAUAUUAUGGGAGUGACACAUAGUUGAAAACAUGGCCUGAUUUAAUUACUCUAUUAAAUUGUGGUUAAGGAUUAAAGGUAAGUGUAUACCGUUGUUGAUUUUGGUUAAUGAUUCAUGGAAGAGAUUAGAUGAAGUGGCGUGACACCAUUCUUGGAUAAUUACAUUUUAUAAAGUUGUUUGGUUUUGCUUGUUCGGGUUGGUUUUGUGUAUAACUUAUCUUAAGCUAAUUGAUUCGGAAACUGACCCACAAGAUUAUGAUGUAAUUAACUUCUAGUUUAACAAUGUCAUAACACUUAAGAAGUUAUUUUUUAAAACAAAUUUUCUAAUGUGUGUAACAUCACCAUUAAUAGUUCAUUACUUUUUCGUUAUAAAUUAUUCACUUCCAAUAUGUUGGGAAGAAAAUUUAGAGAAACUUCUAAGGUACCGUUUGGCCAUGCUUUUUUUUGGUCUAAAAGCUACUUUAAAACAAAGUUAAAAUAAAACUCUUUAAGAAAAAGGCUAAAGCUGUUUGGUUUCUUUAUUUUUUUUUAGUUCUAAAGUUAUUUUUGAGUUAAAAGCUGUUUGGCAAAAUAUUGUACAAAACUUUGAAUUUAUUAUUUUUUGAUAGUGUCUGGGGUUCGAACCCGGGACCUUGCAUAUAUUUAUGCAUUGUCUAUAAAUAAAUAAAAAACUUUGUAUUCAUUAUGAAUUAACAUAAUAAAUAAAAAAAUGUCUAAAAUAUUUUUUGAAGGGAAAAAAUGUUUAAAAUAUAAAAGAUAUAUUUUUACCAAUACUAUAUUUACUCAAUGACGUUUAUUUUGUGUAACAUGAAUACAAAUUUGUACAAUAUCUUUUCCAAUUAUACUCUAUAACAAAAUUUUGUUAUAACAAAUUUUGUUAUAAGAAUACCAUAUUUUAAUUAGUGUUGGUCAAAAAGAUAAGAAUUUAUAUUUAUAUAAUAUUAUAUUUGUUACAUUGUUGGUGUCAUUGAAAAAUAUAUGUUUAGUUUUUUUAAUAAGAAAAAGAUAUGCAUAGUUUGUUACAAUACAAAUGUGUAAAUUAUAUAUAAGUAUAAUUAUUUUAGGCAACUACACUUGUACUUUUAAUUAAAAUCAAAAUUUUAUAAAAAUAAUUAUACGCAUUACACAACACUAACAAAAAUUAUACGCAUUAGCAUAACAAAAAAAAAACAGAAAGAGGAAUAUAAAGUAUUACUCUAAACGCUAACGCGUGUGUGUAUUUCCGUGGUUGAAGAAAGGGAAUAAAAAUAGUCGGUGUCAUUCAUUGACAGCGUGAAUACAAAUAUUUGUGAGGUUGUGAUGAUUAAAAGAUAUUGAAAUUAAUAUAUAAGUGAUAAAAAGAUAAUAAGAUUCUUUAAAAAAAUAGAUAAUAAACUUAAAUGGAACCUCAUUAAAAAAUUAAAUGGACCGGUUAAAAAAAAAAUAAAAAAUAAAAAAUAAAAUGGAAGAAAAAAGUAUAUUGAAAAAAUAAAACAAAAGGUUGCCGGCGGAAGUUGAAGAGAGGUGCUUGUGAAAUAAAUUGGGGAGAAAUACUUUUUUGAAGUAGCAUUCAACAACUUUUGGUUAAAGCUCAUUCCAUUCAAUUUUAUGCAUUCUAAAAAAAGUAAUUUUUUUCGAAGGUACUUUAUUGAUAUUGUGUUUGGCCUAGCUUCUCCUUAAAAACGUAGAAAAGCUGAAAAAAAGACAGGCCAAACGGUACCUAAGACUACUCAAGUUAGGAGAAAUCGACAAAUGUUUAUUGCGAAUUUUGGCAAAUAAAAUUAAUUUGGUAUAAAUUGAAUCCUUUAGUUCACUCGAAAAAAAAAAUACGUUUUUUAGACUUUUUUUUGGGUAAAAAACUCUUUUUUUUUUUUUUUUUAAUAAUGUGCAUUUUUUAAUCAACGAGAGAAUUAAAAUCUUUUGGUUUUAACGCGAUAUUUCAAGAUCAAUAAAGGUGCAAAGAGAUGACAUUGAUUAAAGAAAAUUACUCUAGACUACACACAAGGUGGAUUAUUUUGAAACACGUUUAAUUUAUUUAUUUUUCGGUAAGUGAAUCACAUGUGAGACCUACAUUACCCCUUGAUGAAUUGGAGGUAAUUUAUUCUAUAAUGAUAAAUAUGAUUCGAUUUUGAAACAAAAAAUAUGUAGAUCAUAUGUUGAAUAAAGGAGAUGAAAAAGUUUGAUUUUCUUAAAAUGAAUAUGAUAAUUGAUUGUCAGAAGAAGAAAAAAAUCAAAAUAGCGAGGCCUACAUUAUCAUUUGAUGAAUUAGAGGUAACUUACCCCUAAUAACAAACAUAUGUAGAAGUUUGAUGUCCUAGGAAUGAAAGUGGUAUUUAACUUUUAAAAAAAAAAGAUGAAAAAAGUAUGUUUUUCUUUGAUAGAGGUAAAUUACCUCCAAUUGGGUAAUGUAUAAAAAACCAUGUUUUAAAAUCACAUAAAAUAUUGUACUCUUUCCAUUCAUAAAUACAUCUGACAGUCAAUCAUUGCAUACAUGUCCAUACAUAACUUUGAUCAUUAAUAUUUUUAAUCAUUUAUAAUAAAAAAUUAUAAAAAUUUGAUAUUUUAAAAAUAACUAUUAAGAUAAAUCGAGCAACAUCUUACACGUUAUAUAUAUAUAUAUUAUUAUUUUUGUUAGGUAGUUUAGUGGCUAAAAUUCACAUUUUUCAAGGUGAAUAAAUGACGUGUUAAACGAAGGUUUGAGAGUGUUAAACGAGAUUAAGACUCAAAUGUCACGAUCAUAUUAACAAAAGUUGAAGAAAAUAAUAUUACAAUGUGCUCUCUAUAUAUUGAACAACUAACUAUCAAUCUCUUAAGUCUAAACAACUCUGACAAACAAACUAAUUCCUAGCUGAAUUAUAUUUUGUAACACCAUUCUUGUGAAAAUUUCUCCCACAACAUUUUAGUAACUUCACUCAAAAUUGACAUGAUAACUAUUAAGAUUCAAUAGCUUGUCGAAAAAACUUGACACUUGAUUAUCAUAUAAUCAAGAAAUACUCAAAUAUAAGUGAGCAUGUCUUUUCAAAUUCCACAUGGUUGCUAUAGAAUGAAUUGAUUAUCAUAUCUUGUCUAUUUUUGGCUCUUCUUUAGAAUGAAUUAAGUGUCAAUUACAAAUUUUUUUGUUGGUGGCGAUUAUUAAUGUCCUUGGUGCAAUUUGAUCGGUAGAAAUCAAUUGUCAUUGAACAAUAAAAGUACUUCUAUAUCCAUCAUCUUUUUUUAGUCGCGAUUUAAACCCUAAACCUUACAUAUAUUAUGCAUUUUUCGACCAAUUGAGUCAAGUUCACGAGGAUCGUAUAUCUAUCAUCUAAUCAAGAAAAAUAUAUCUUGAAUCCACAAACUGAUCAUAAACCUCCUUGUUCCACUUCUUUGAAUCACUUUUGAGGACUCUCGAUUUUUUUAUGAUAAAUUCCAUCCUUAGAAAAAAUCAUAUAAAACCUUAUGCCCCAUAAAAAAAAUAAAAAAUACUUAUUGCUUUGUAAUUAAGACUGCUCUUGAGUUUCCACACACAAACUUUCCACAAAAAGAGGAUGCUCUCAAUUGGUCAACGAAUAAAACUUCACCUUUGUAGACAUGAUUAACACCACCCAUGCAAGCCAUACUUUUGAGGAUAUGGCUACCAAUUAUUUUAUUUUACAAUGAGAAAAGAGGACAAUAAUAAUGUACUCCAAAAGUUUGGAUUAUUACAUUACUAGUUUCGUUAUUGCCAUCUGGACCACUCACUUGUGUCCAUCAUUUUUUUUUUGUUACAUUUGUGUCCAUCAUUUGAGUUAUUUGUAGUUUCCGUUUGAUAAUAAACCAAUAAGCGCAGUCAAGAAAAAUAUAUCCAUGUCCAUAUAUAUUUCAUGAAUCUCAUAAAUCUUUUAGCACAAUUAUUCAAUGUAUUCUACUUUUAUUACUACCUCCGUCCAUAAAUAUAUGAGUUUUUUGCAAAAAUUACGGAGAUUAAAAAAGUUGGUUGUAUUAUUAAUUUUGUAUAUAAUUACUAUUGUUUUUACAAUUUUAUCCUUAAGAGAGAGAAUUAAUUUAUGUUUUCAACAUAAUAUUUAUUGUUGAUUGAAGAAAAAGAUGCAAAAUAAAUAAGGGUAUGUUGGUAAAGAAAUAAUUAAUGUACUUGAAAAUACCAAAGGACUCUUAUAAAAAGGGACAAAAUUUUUCUCAAAAAAAUCUUAUAAUUAAGUAGUAUAAUUUUUCGUGAUUAUAGUCGUAACUUUUUUAACAGAUAUUGCUAAUAUAAGUCCUACAUAUAUAGUUAUGUAAUUUGAACCGAUAAUUUAUCAUUAAAAAAAACAACUCAUGUGUAAUUUUUUUUGUUAUAAUUUAUCAUUAAAAAAACAACUCAUGUGUAAUUUUUUUUUACAAUCCUCAUGUUGUCAAAAUGUGAGGCCCGAUAGUGGUAGCCAUUAGAUUACGAAUAAAGAUUGGUAGACAUCCUUAAUGUGUACAUUCAUUUACACCACUCUAAAGAAUUUAAGUUAACUAAAUAUAUGGUAUGUGUGACCAUAUUUUUCAAUUGUGUGACCACUAUUUUCCAGCAUUUAGAAGCUGAAAAAUAUGGUCAUGUAACUAAAAUGCACGUGACCACUAUUUUUCCACUUAAUUAACCUAAUAAAUAGUGGUCACGCAACUAAAAAUAUGUGGUCACACAGACCAUAUAUAUAGUUAACUUAAAUUUUUUAGAGUGAUACAAAAGGGUGUAUACAUUAAAGGUGUCUACAUAUCAUUGUUGUUAGAUUAUAUCCAAGACUCUAAUCAUUUUGUAUGUUUAAGGUAUAAUUGGAAGAGAUAAGUUGAAAAUUUAAAUAAAGGGAACAAAUUAAGUGCGUAGGGUAAAAAAAAAUUGCAGAAUAUCUUGAGAUUUAUUAAGGUAUUUUUAUGAUCGAUGAGAGUAAAUAUAAAUUUGAAGAGCAAAUGAAAAAGAACAUAUUUGAGUUUUUUUAUAAAAUUUAAUAAACUUAUUGUAAAAAUUAUUAAGAGAAAAGUGAUUUGGAUCAGUCCUAAUCAUAGUCCACCUAAUAUAAUAAGACAUGGGUGCUCUAGUCAAAGUGUCAAAGCCACACGCUCGAUUAUCCCAUGUCAUACCUUAAUCCACGACCAUGAUGACAAUGGCCACCAACAUUAAAAUAUAUAUACAUGUUCUGUUAAGAUUUAAGAAUGAGAUAUCUGGCAUAUGCUUAUGUUUUUCUACAAUCUUUCAACAAAAAUUGCACUACUAUUCCUAUGACUACAGCUGGGCCAAUAACAGCACAAAGAUUUUCAUUGAAAUUCCCAAAUUACCCUCAAUGAUACCGUCAAUCAUUCUACUUUGUGGCUUCACAUGAAACGUGUCGACAUCUAAUCUUAUCAUCUGAAGAACGAUGAUGUCACAGCCGCCAUUACGCAACGAUAAUAGACUCUGGACCAAGAUUUACCAUAAACGACAAAAGUGGAAGUUGCUGGUGACAAAAAUUACAUCAAUCACACCGUAAAAAAGGUAGUAAUGCUUGUGUAAGAUUAUAACCAAGGAUUGGCCAUGUAUAUUUCGGAUAGCACUUCGGUGAUAUUGGAAUGUUGAUGUCCAUUUAAUAUUAGUCAACCAUAAUAUAUUUAUGACUAACUAACUGUUACCCAUAUAUUGCUCAAGUGUCUUUUCCUAACAAAAAACUUGAACAGAAAAAGUUUUGUUUUCAAAUUUAACUUUUAAAACAAAAAACUCAAACUCACACACACCUACUCCUAAAUUUUCACUUAUUGUAUGUUUGGAAUCCCGGCUAAUUUGUCAUUCUCGCGUUACAAGGCAAUGUCACUGCUGAAAAAUAUUACCUCCGUUCCUUUUUAAUUGUCACAUUUUAACAUUUUACACAAAUUAAGACAAUCAACAAUUGAUACCACUUUUGAUGCAAUAAGCUAUACUUUUACUAUAAUGACCUUAUUCAUUUAAUAUCUCAUUUCAUAUAUUUCUCUCUCUGUAAUAAAUAACUAAGGACAAUAUUGGUAAACCAACAUUUAAUGUUGCAUUUAACUUUGAAAAUGACAGUUAAAUAGGAAUAAAAAAUUUCUCCAAAAGUGACACUUAAAAAGGAACGGAGGGAGUAAAAACUAUAAAGUGUGGCUUCUAACGAAACGCACGUCUACGGCAAAGUAAACGCUGGGACAUACAGACACUUGGUUCUUUAAUUCAAUCUGUUCAUAUAUGAACCAUUUAAACACUCAAUUAAAGAAAUCACAUUUGUGAAUGCUCAAACCUCAACCCAAUUCACUUAAGUGCUAGUUUGCUUCCACAUCAAAACAAUACCAAACAUACUUUUACUAAGAAGCUUGGAUUUUUAGCUUUAGAAAAUCACUGUAUAUUUGUGUUGGAACGUGUUUCCAAACACAUGCUAAAAAAAGCUUAAUCCUGAACAUAAUCUCAAUUAGAGUAGAAAAUUGGAUAAUUACCGUGCCCUACUGGGAUCAUUAAACAGUAGUCAAGUUGAAAAAUAUUUGUUUAUUAAAAUGUGAAGCUUAAAGUAUGAAACGUAAGUCUAAUUAUAUAAUUUUUGCAAAACUAAUCUAAAUAUCAUUUUCUCACCAUGGAUUGGGUUUGUCAUUCAUCAUCCGUUUUCACAUUGCUUCUAUCUCCUAACUCCUAUCUUCUUUAAAAUGGACCCCACUUUUGGACAAAAUCAUGGUUCUUGGAACUGAUCUAAAUUUUUUGUCAUUCAUACCCCCUAGCCCCCUUGGCCUAAUCUCUUCCCACGUGACGACAAAAAUUCCACAACCAUAAAAUCCCUUCCUUUCUUCCAAUCCCAAAAAUUUCAAUCCUCUCUCAUUAUUUUCAUUUUGUGUAUGCUUCACACCAAGUUUGGUUUUUGUCUCUCUCUCUCUCUCUUAGCACACACCCUCAACAUUUUUUUAAUACCACAUGGGAACCCCACAGACCAAUUUGCCACCAGGUUUUAGGUUCCACCCUACUGAUGCAGAACUCAUUCUUCACUACCUUAGGAAAAAAAUUGCCUCCAUUCCCUUGCCUGUUUCCAUCAUUGCUGAAGUUGAUAUUUAUAAGUUGGAUCCUUGGGAUUUACCAGGUUUGUAUUCUAUAAAUUUAUAAGUUGAUCCAAAAUAUACGUAUGUACUUUUUUAUAUUACUUUUUUUUAAUUUAAUAAUGUGUGAUGUGGAAGGUUAAUUUACUUUUGGUUUGUUGUGGUUUCUUUAUUUUCAGCUAAGGCUUCAUUUGGUGAGAAAGAAUGGUACUUUUUUAGUCCUAGAGAUAGAAAGUACCCAAACGGUGCAAGGCCAAACAGGGCAGCUGCUUCAGGGUAUUGGAAAGCCACUGGCACUGAUAAGACCAUAGUGGCAUCAUUGCCAUGUGGAGGAGGAAGAUCACAAGAGAACAUUAUUGGUGUCAAAAAGGCUCUUGUUUUUUACAAAGGAAAACCCCCAAAGGGUAUUAAGACUAAUUGGAUCAUGCAUGAAUAUCGUCUUGUUGACAACAAUAAACCUAUUAAGCUCAAAGAUUCUUCCAUGAGGGUGAGUUUAGAUUGCGGUCGCGUCGCAAUUAAAUGUGACUAAUGCAAUAUCAAUCAUAGUCUUGCCACAGUCGAACAACGGCAUAAAAAAAACAUAAACUCUGAUGUUGUUGUUUGAUUGUGGUCACGUACUUUUUUUAGAUGUAUCUUAGACUAAUGUUAUUCUUGGAAUUAUUGUAUUUGUGCAGUUGGAUGAUUGGGUGCUAUGCCGAAUUUACAAGAAAUCAAAAUGUGCACUAACUUCAACAGAAUCAUCAGAAACUAUGGUAGGUGAAGUGGAACAUGCAGAAGAGACACAAUUCCAAGAAACCCUAUUUCCAAUCACCAAAAACACAACCUCACCUCUUCAAAACACACUCAUGUCUCAAAAAUCAGUGUCCUUUUCAAACCUAUUAGAUGCUAUGGACUACUCCAUGUUAAGCAGCUUCUUAUCUGAAAAUUCCAACAACCCAUCAGGAAUUGGAACAAGUUCAGGUUUCAACACUGAAAAUUUUAACCAACAACAAUCUUCCCAUAUCAACACUUGCAACAAUUACAUGUCUCAGAAGAAUCCUCAAUCCAACACUUUAAAGCACCAGCUUUCAAACGUAGAUGAAGACAUGUUAUACCCAUCAAAGAAGUACUUGAGUUCCUCUUGCAAUUUUCCUAACAUCAAUUCUCAGUAUGAAAACUACCUUAUGAAGCAAUCUUUGAUGAAUCAACAAUUGCUUUUAGGUCCUCAUCAUCAAUAUCAAGGCUAAUCCAAAAUACCACAAAAAUUAAGUGGUACCAAAAAAAAAAAGAUUAUGAAAUAGAAAAGUUAAGUAAGAUUUCUAGAAGUUGGGCCCACCAAAUUACACCAAUGUCAUCAUUAAGUAAGGAUUGCUAAUUUAAUAGUAGUGCACAAAAUAUAGUGUGUUCUAUUUUGUCCAUUUUAAUUUUUUUUCUAGGAAUUGAAGGAGGGGUUAGGACCUAUUUGGUAUGGAGUCAAAAGAUUCCUUAGUUGAAGACUGAAUAAAUUGUGAAAAGAAAAUAUCAAAGUUUUAUGACCUAUCAGAAAUAGUAGUGUACAAAAUGUUAAUUUGUUUGUGUGUUGUUGGGGUUGGCAAGUUAGCUUUAUGAUAUAUAUUCUGUAGAUAAGUAUUGUACUGAUUGUGAUGAUAUUUUUCAUUCUUUUCAUGGAAAAAGAAGCUACAAAUUUUUCUUUUGGAUUGUAACUAUUCGCCAUUUCAGUAUGUUAAUCUUUAUUGUUUUUUGAUGUGGAUCCAACCAAGAAUUCACUGUACAAGAAUCUUUGACUUAGUAUAAAUUUCUUAAAUUAGAUAUAAAAUGAAGGAAAAUUUAAGAUGAUAAGAUUAAGAUUGAAUUGGGGAUCCGUCACAAGAAUAAAAUGUUAUUUGAUAAGCAACUAGAAUUGCUUCAUCUAAACACUUAAAAGGAGAAAAACUAUCUCUUACAUCAAUACACAGAUUGAAAAUAAAAUACUCAUGUAUUAACCAAAUGAAAAAUAAUACUAACAAAAUUGUUAUUUAUACAUACACAUAUGAGGCACCUAUAAAUCUCAAUAAUAAGCAAAAAAAAGGCUCAAUAAGGAAUUAGAAAAACAAUGAACAUUAUACAUCUUCAAAAUAAAACAAUUUAAAUUUUAAACUAAACAUUAAUACAAACAAACAAAGGAAUAUUAAAAGGAUAUUUGACUUCACGUUUAGUGUGGAUAAAGCAUGUUGUCCCAAUGUCCCUGCCAUUUUUGGCUGUUGUUAUUCACAUGCUUUGAACCAUUACAUACAAUAUUGAAGCAAUGUAAAUGGAACCUAUAAACAAAUUUACCAAUUGAAUUUUCAAUUAUAAAUUUAUACCAGCUUCGUACAAUUUUUUCACUAUUUUAUCUUAUCUUCCUAAUGCCAAGUCCAACUUAUUUGUGUUACAUUUACACUAGAGUGUAUAAUAGCCAAGUCCAACUUUGCUACAUAUCACUUACCUCGUGUGAAUGCACACACACCAAACAAAAAUACCAACUUGACACAAAAAAUAAGAUUAAUUCUUCUUUUUCUACCAAAAACAGUGUAUGCAUUCGCAAUAUUAAUCAGUUGUAUGGAUAUAUAACUAACAAGAUUUCAUCAUUUUUAUAUUAAUAUUGAUAUUUUAGCAAAUAAUGUUAUGGUAUAUAUAAAUAGUGAGAUGUGAUUUUAUACUCUACGUACAAUGAGCAUACUUUUGUGUGAUGUAUGGCUAGAAAAUAGUGGACACUUAUAUUAUUGAGAUUUCAAUAUUUAAUUACGAGCACGUACGAUGUUUAAUUUAUUUUAACUAGGAUAACAUCAUCCACUCGAUUUUGUACUUUGGCAUCAUUAUAAUGUUCCAUGAGGAUAAUCCUUAUCUCUAUAACUGCUUCUCACGUGUUCUUGAUUAAUUAUUCUUAGUUGUUAGUGUGGAUUUUGACUCUUUAUUAACAACAUUGAUCGAAUAAGGACUAAGAACACAAUGUUAUUGCUAGCAUGUGGUCACCAAACUCCAAUUAUUUAAUCUGCUUUAUCUCUUCAACAUCCUUAACGCAUGCAAACUUUGGUUAAUAAAGUAGCCUCCUAAAUCCAAAAAUAUGCAAUUAUUCUUAUUAUAUUGCACUUUCAAGAAAGAAAUUAAUAAACAAAAGACGAAAAGUUAAUUAGCACAUGAAACUUAAUAAUAAACGAAAAGUAAGAGGUCUUUACACAAUUCACACUCACACACAAAGUAGUUGCGAACGUAAUUAACAAACGUGUGUAACUUAGCAAUCAUGUGUGUAUGAGAAGACUAGUAGAUAAGGUGGUUAAAGACUUGAAGUGUCCUAUGCAUGGAGUGGCAGCUUCAUGUGGAGGGAUGGUUUAUAAAUUAUAUAUAAGUUGGUGAGCAAGUAUGAGACAUUUGUUAUGUACAUAACUAAUUCUUUUAAGUUUCUAUGUUCUUGUUGUGAGUUAGGGGAAUGAUGGUGUAUGUAAUUGGGGAUUUUGAUUAUACUUGGGUUUGGGAGGUGUGGGGAUCUGAUAUAUUUUGAUAUAUACAGUUAGAAUCAGAUGUGGAGUCAAAUUUUUAAUCUAAAGGUCUAUUAUUGUUUGCUAAAUUUACUCGCCAUAUCUUUUAUCACUUGAUUUCCACUCGAUUUUUUGUCAAGAAUAAAAGUAUGUGUAUUUUCCUCCUCACAACAAUUCUUGAUUUUUAUUUUUCCCUCUAUAAUGAAAAUUCGCAGCAAUCCAAUUUAAAGGGGUUUCUAUUCUACGAAAACCAUAAGUUAAUUAACAACUGUUCAAUCAUGGAUUCAGGGUUAAACACCUAAAAUUCAAUCGAUAGAAGCAAACUCAUCCAAUCCAAAAUACUCUAUGUUAACUGCCGUCAUCUACAAUUGGGGUCUUUAUCACAAAUUUUGCAUAAGUUCUUAAAUGUAUACGAAAAAUUAACCAAGAUGGAAAGGAGAUACAUACAAAAAUAAUAUCAAAGGGUGUGUGGGGAUAAUUAAUCUACAAAUUUUUCGGAAGAAAACGAGGAGUAUCAUGACUAAGGGUGUAAGCGGUUUGGAUAAAACCAAUGAAUUUGAAAGUUCAAGCUAAGAAAGUAUCCGAUCUUGUCUUGUUCGGUUCAAAACUGAAUCAAUCCAAUCUAAAUUGUACUUCUUUGGUUCGGUUCUCGAUUUUUUAUUUAAACUCCAAGGAACCGUUGGACCGAACCGAUGCUAACCUCACUCUCCAUUUUUGAAAUAUUAUCCCUCCUCACACACACACACACUUAUGAUUAGGCUCAAAAUUAAAGUCCAACAUAAACUACUCUUUAAUCCAUUCACCUACUUCAAUCAUCAUCUCAUCUCAUCACUCAAACUCUAUUUUAUUUCUUCUAAAAAAGAAACCCUAGUCAUUAACCACACCUAACCCAGCGUUUUUCACCACUGCAGUGAUCGUCCAUCUGUUGGUUGGUUUUAUCAUAUUUAUGUCUUCAAACUUUUCAAAAGAUAUUGUAUCGUGAAGCAAAUAGGUGCGCUGAUACGUUAGCUAAUAUUGGAUGUAUCAUGGGAAAUGAGAUGAUGUUUUAUGAGUCGUGUCCGACUCAAAUUAACUAUUUGUUAACUGCUGAUCAAGCGGGGGUUACUUUUCCGCGCUUGAUUAAGAUGUAAUUUCUUUUUCCGGGCUUCGGUCCUCCCAUUCAUAAAAAAAAAAGAUAUCUUUUCUAUGAUACCAUUGGUUUUUUUUUUUACAGAAUUAUAUACUCCCUCCGUUCCAUUUUAAUUGAGUCAUUGACUCAUUUCACACUUAUUAAGAAAAAAUGUAUAAGUGAAAGAGAGAGAAAAAUGGUUUUGAGUGCCCUUAUCAACUAUUGGUGCAUUCUUUUUUGUCAUAAAUGCAAAGUAGAAUAUAUUGAAUUGUGAGUGGUGAAAGUAUUAUUAAUUAGUGUUAUAAUUGAAAAAAAGUACUCCCUCCGUCCCUUAAUAAAUGACACAGUUGAUUCCAUUACGCAUUCUAAUGCAUAAUUUUGAGCUUAAAUAUCUUGAAUAAUAUGUUAGAAAAAAUUAUGAAAAUUUGAUAUUUUGAAAAUACUCAUCAAGACGAAUCUAAUGACAUCUUAUACUUAUCUAUGUAUAUUAGUAGAAAAAUAUGGUCAAAGUAAGCUAGGUCAAACUUGCAAAUUUUCAAAUAGGUCAUCUAUUGCGGGAGGGAGGGAGUAAUUAAUAUUGUAUUGGAAAGUGAAAUGAGUCAAUUUUUAUGGGACAAUAUUUUUUUUUGCAAAUGGUUCAGAUUAUAGGACAGAUGGAGUACCAUUGUUUAAUGAAGACUAGAAUUAAUGUGACGAAUGAUUAAGCUAGCAAAUCCUCCAAUGCUCGCUAUAUGAUAAUUUGCACCUUUUUCCUAUAAAUGUUUCGCUAUUCCAACGAUAGAUUAACAAAUUAGUUCUAAUCAAUCUCUUGAAUAAGAACUCUCUUCUAAAAUCUCAAUCCCUUAAUCUCUUAGGCAAAAUCGAAAUUGUUGGAGGUUUUAAUGAUUUAUUAAUCUCUGAAUCAUAGCUUAAAAAUUGUUUAUCUCUACCUUAAUUAGUUAAAUUAAUCAGAUUACCUAGGUUAGAUUCAAACCCUAGGGCUAGUAUCAUUCAAAUUCUAUGAUCAAUUCAUAAAUUCAAGAUGCUAGGGUUAGUAGUCACUAGUCAGUCAUAAACAUAUAAAAAGCAUUAAACUCAAGAUAAACAAAAUAAGACUAGAUCUUCAAUGAUAAUCAAGAGAGUUCAUGCAAAGUACAAGGCCAUAUAGCUUUCAAAAGAUUCAUCUUGACUUAAUCACAAGAAAUUUAGUUACUUAUAGCUAAAGUAUAAACAAGUAAUUCAAAACAAGGAUUCAUUACAUGGAUUGGAGGGGUGACUAUGAGUUUUGAUGGUCUUUCGCCUAUUCUCCAGCUUUCUAUUCCAAAAACGUCAUUUUCUCCUUCAAAUUUCAAACCCUUGUCUUAGAAACACGUUUGCCUUUUAUAGAUUUUAAUUUUUCCUCACAAAAUCAUGUCCCAAUGCUUCCUAAUCAUGCCCCGAGUAUUGUUGAAUGAAAAGGCUCUUUCUAGACUUGAAAACAUGGCCCGAUUUAGUGAAAUUGUGGCUCGAUUUGUAAUUUCUUGUUGCUCUUUGAUUUCUAUCAAUUUCAGCUCUAGAGACUCCAAUAUUACACUAAAAUCGACGAAAAAUACAUAAAGAUCAACUAAUUUUUUUAUGGUGGUUGAGGUUCGAACCUGGACCUUGCAUAUAUCUUGGAUAUAACAAAACCAAGAUGACAUAGUGUCAUGAAUCACCAUAAUAUGAAGAUCAAAGUGAUUAUUUUUGAUUUUAUUGAGACGUUUUAGGUCGACUGAAUAAUAUGAAGAUGAAAGUGAAUAAAAUAUGACAAAAACCUAAAGACAAUCCACGUGUUAAAGCAGAUAUGCGUAUCAUCGAUUAUUCAUACAGAUUCUACGCAGUAUUUGGCCCCACACCAUAUUCCUUGAUUUCAUCAUCAUCGAUUUGUUUACAUAAUAAAAUCAAAAUUAAGCUUAACAACUAAGUAUCCAUCUUCUUCUCCCGAAUCAGAAAAAUGGAGUUCCCCUUCAAUCACAACACCUCCAACGUAACCCACACUCAUCACCACCGUCGUGACGACGACAACAACGAACAACAUUAUCCACCACCUGGUCACAACAAUUUAUCUUCCUUCAACCAACCACCACCACCACCACAUCAUCAACAACCACCUUUCUACCCUAACCCAUCAUACCCACCACCACCACAACAACAACCACAUCAACCCGAAACUCAAGUCUUCCACACCGGGCACGUGUCCCGUAAUGACAAUUUCAACAAUUACCCUCAACAACCACAACCUCACCAAGAAACUCAAGUGUUCCACACUGGACACGUGUCCCAUGAAAACUUCAACAGUUACCCUCAACCACCACCACCUCAAUCUCAUCAUCAACAACCCAGCUACGGCGCUGCGUACCCACCUGCACCACCAUCCGUACCGGAUCACACCUCCGCCCCAUUCCCAAACGCAACUGUUCACCAUGUUUCUCAUGAAACCCAUAACCCUCAUUUUCCUUCUUCCAACG
rnacentral:lncRNA from 1 species